rnacentral:rRNA from 1 species
CUUAUCUGGUAAAGCGAAUGAUUAGAGGCCUUAGGGCCGAAACAACCUUAACCUAUUCUCAAACUUUAAAUGGGUAAGAACCUUGCCUUACUUGAUAUGAAGGUACAGGUUAUGAUAUAUUGUGCCCAGUGGGCCACUUUUGGUAAGCAGAACUGGCGCUGUGGGAUGAACCAAACGUGAUGUUACGGCGCCAAAAUUAACAACUCAUACAGAUACCAUGAAAGGCGUUGCUUGCUUAAAACAGCAGGACGGUGGACAUGGAAGUCGUAAUCCGCUAAGGAGUGUGUAACAACUCACCUGCCGAAGCAACUAGCCCUUAAAAUGGAUGGCGCUAAAGUUGUAUGCCUAUACAUCACCGCUGAAACAAAUGAUUUA